AGGGUUUGAUUAUGGCUCAGGAUGAACGCUAGCUACAGGCUUAACACAUGCAAGUCGAGGGGCAGCAUGGUCUUAGCUUGCUAAGGCCGAUGGCGACCGGCGCACGGGUGAGUAACACGUAUCCAACCUGCCGUCUACUCUUGGACAGCCUUCUGAAAGGAAGAUUAAUACAAGAUGGCAUCAUGAGUCCACAUGUUCACAUGAUUAAAGGUAUUCCGGUAGACGAUGGGGAUGCGUUCCAUUAGAUAGUAGGCGGGGUAACGGCCCACCUAGUCUUCGAUGGAUAGGGGUUCUGAGAGGAAGGUCCCCCACAUUGGAACUGAGACACGGUCCAA
rnacentral:rRNA from 1 species